rnacentral:tRNA from 1 species
CGCAGUGUGUCGGAAUUCGGAAGACGAGGUUGACUCAAAAUCAAUUGCUGAAAAGCGUGCAAGUUCAAAUCUUGUCACUGCGA